CAGGAAGAUCUCCAUGCUUGGUUUGAAGGAGCUUGGCUUCUGCUGAAAUCAGAUCCCUUCCUGGAGUGAAGUAAACAACAUCCUUGUUAAAGAGGAGGAGUGACUGAAAUUCAACUGACGUUGUGUUGUAAAUAACAUACAACCAGGAGGGCUCUUGAAUCCUGCUGAGAGGCUCUGGAGUGCUUAUGUUACAUUUGCUGAAGAAUCUAUCAUCCUGAAAGAUAACCUGAUCCUGGAACGACCUGCAAACUGUCCACUAAGGCCAAGUGAUGGAUGUCUUUAGCUAUGAACUGCAUGCCUUGUUUCACCAAAGUCCUGUAGGCAACCAUGACAGGUCCACAGAUGUAAUUCAGUGGAGAGGAAGAUUUAGUGACUUUUUACUGUUAUAAAACAGGACAUGCACAGGGCUUCAAUUUUGUGUUGUGUUAAUGGAGGUUGAAUGCCUGCUGCUGCCUGCAGUGUGGAAGAGAAGGAGCUCCGGGUGUGGACUACUUUCCUGAAGCUUAAUCCUAAGGAUGGGAUAGGGAAGGAAAGCUUGGUUUUCCAACCUGGAAGUUUGAAGUGACAUUCUAAUAGUUUUUUUCCUACUUCCGGAACUCAUCUCUGCAUCUGAUUGAGGGCUCAAGGGAUGGAGGAUCAAUAUCACAAGGCUAAAGCAUUUGCUUCUGUGGUUCUAUCAUGUGGAAUGAUUUUGCUUUCUUUUCUGCAGAUGUAUUUGUUCCAGACAUAUUCUGUUAAAAGGGCUUCAUGGUUCUUGGGAGCACCUCCUAAUAGAAGCAUAUUCCACUAUAUGAUAGCAUAAGCCAUCCAUUUAGCUAUUAUGUUAGCAGUAUCCUCAAGUACUAAAUUCCCUUGACACAAUCUUGAAGCCUGAAUGCAAAGGAACUCUUCCUUUUUCAGAGUAGAUUUUAAUUUUGUUAAUUAAUUUUCAAAGCAAUUACAUACUCAUGCUCCAGGAGUAAGCAGUUUGGAUGAAACAAAAAGCAAACAGGUUUUAUAAAUAGCUAAAAGGCAUAAAUAUGUUAAAUUCCUAGUUAUUAAAGCUAACCUUAUAAGCAUAUACACUUUUAAAAUUCUAAGCAGAUUUAUUAAAUUGUUGUUUCUUUGGAAAGUAUAUAAAGCAAAUUAAGUGACUGUUUCUUCAAACCAGAGGUUGCUUUGUUAUAUAGAUUAGUGGACUCAAGUCCUUCUUCCUGCCAUAUUCACUACAGUAAAUCAGGUGUAAUUAGGCUACAGUUAAUAGAUUUGUGUAACAUCAUGCUGUGUUUUGUACACUCUAACCUUUUUUUGAAUAGGUCAGUAGUAGAUCAAUCCUGAUGAACUUGGAACAUUUUUCUUGUGGAUCUGCUGUUAGCUGGGGUGUUAUCCUGGCUACUCAGUGUGAUGAAGUCAUCUCACUGGUGGAUCAACUAUCCUGUUUACUUUUCUCUCUAAAUUGUAUUUGGGGUCAGUAUAUACGUGAGCACUUGCAGUGGAAAGCUGCAGUCGUUUCAUUUUUUUAAGCCUUAAUUGCAGCUGCUGCUUUUAAUUUGCUGUAUGACUGACGUGAUAUGAAGUUUACUAGUAGUAUUUGCAUAUAAUUUUAAUGAUUGUGUGCUACAGUCUUUACUGCUCCAUAGGCCAGAUUUAAUCUACAGUAUAUUGUUCACAGUUUUGUGGCCUAUGGAGACAUUCAUGUGAGUAAAGAAAGGGACAUGGUCAGAUUGAGGUCUGCACUACAAAUUCCUAAAAGGAGAUGCUUAUCUGUAUAAAUUCUGAUUUCAUUGGAAUGAAAGAUAAAGUAAGCAGGGUUCAAUAAGACACGAAGCCAUUUUUUUCUGGGCUUAACAUUUAUAAAAAUAUUUCUGAAAAAUGUAUCAUUAUUACGGCAUAAUUUGAACAAAAUAUUUUGACUUCACAGAUACAGCAGAAUAAGCUUUAGCCAGCCUAUGUGCUGAAGGCAUUUUCUUGUGCUUCAGCAAGUUAAAUUCAUUUUUUUCACUUAGGAAAACUAGCUGACAAUUAUGUUUAGUGCAUUCCAGCUGCAUAAAAAAUCAACUUGUUGCAGAGAGAUUAGGCUGUAUUGAAAGCAGUUCCAGCUAUAGAGCUGUACAAUUCCAUUACCCACCAUAGUGAUCAUUAGGGAGCAUAUCCGGUUGGAAUUAAAAUCAACUUUGAGAAACGGUGCCCAGUUUUAGUCUAUGGGUAGAAUGUUAAUAUGGAUUGGUACAGACUUUUCUAUACUCGUUUUGCUUGUGAAGGAGCAUUUGGUUCCAGUCUGGAAGCCAUAUGGCUUCAAACAUACACUUGCAUACAUCUGUUGGUCUAGAAUAGUUUGAGAUGGCUGGGACUCUUAAAGGUCAUCUGGUAUAGACUUAACCUCAGUCAGUCCCUGCCCCCAUUCUAUCAGGAUCUGUUUUUUGCAGGUGAGUAGGUAGCGUCUCCUGAAUAUUAAUCUUUUUUUGAGAUGCUGCGUGUUGGGGAUGCAAGGGAUCCCUAGUAUCAUUCAGGCACUAUGGAUGUGGGAAAUCCCAGCCAUCGGUUACAACCUUCUGCCAGGCUGUUUCCCCUCUUGACAAAGGGCAUCAUUUAAUGCAUAUGAUUGCAUGAGUAAAAUUUUGUUGUCUUUUAUAAACCUUGUGGCAAACGUUAAAUGCAUCAUUCUAGGAGGUGAACGCCUUUAGGAAUAGAAACUGAAGCUGUUCUCCUAGCUCUUCAUAAAGGCAUAGUAAGGUUUCUUGCUGGUAGAAGCCUAAUAAGGUUUCUUCGUGUUUUCUUGCUGGGGUCCUUGUUCUAGCAAAAAUGGUGUAAAAAGCAUGGUAGCUAUAUCUUGUCUGAAGAGAAAUGUAAACAGAAAAUUGUACGAGAGUUCAAGGAAGGAAUUCAGAGCCCUUUGUGUAUUUACUUCUUAAAAGCCCCAAAAACUAAUGUGCUGGUAAAUGGGUCUGAUAAAACAGUGGACUAUACACUUCUAAUUUUUCAUUUUUUAUUAGUAGUUUUAGAACUUCUUUGUUACAAUGGUACAUCUUUUGAUUGCUAAAUAUUUAAAUGAAAUACCUGACUUUCUAAAUGCCAACAUAUGAUAAAUAGCUAAGAUUUUAAUAAUCAGAGCACAGAAAAGAUGGAUUUAGAAACACUUUCUAUGCACUCAUGUAUGAAUUCCAGUGUAGUCACAGGGACAGAGUCUGUGUCUAUCUGUGGUAGCAGGUAAAAUAGUCACAUAAGUGAAGCUGAGGAAAAUGAAUCUGAAUGCUUAGCAAUUUUUAAUUGUUUCUUACAACACAACAUCAUUAGAUUUUUUUCUUCAGAGAAAUGAAUAGAAAUUGAAUGCACUUUGUUAAAUAUCCUGUUAAACAUAACCAAAUGCUUAAAACUGGAGAAAUUCCUGACAGUCAGAAGUGCUGCACUGAGAUACAAGGGUGAAAAUAAGAGCACGCGAAUAGGUUAUUAUUCUCUAAGACAAAAGUUUAAUGAAUUAAAACUUGAUUUUUCACAUGGAGGCAAUUAAAAUGGAAUAUGCUGCAUGCUUUCAGCCAAUUUGGAGCUAUAUUUUUUCUGUUAAAAACAAGGAGCAUCCAACUUGCUCCCAAUUUGUUCUCUAACUUAGAUCUGUAAAGGUUGCAAUUUAUUUAAUGUUCUGUGAAGUAUUCUUCCAGUGUGUCUGCUUGUUUAUGUAUAUAAAAGCUUGAUAUAAGGAAUGUAGAAUUGACUAUCACUUUUAUGCAACUAGGAAAUGAGGUACACCUAUUUCCCUACUGAGACCAACAGUAUCUUCUGGAAUAAAACAAAUUAAGAGAAACUAGGGGAAAAACCUCAAGAAGAAAACCAGUCCUCUGCAGUCCGUCAGCAGUUUGGGGGCACCUUAUGAGCAGGUCCCCACUCUGCCCCUGGGGACUGCCUGUGGGGCAAUCAUGUCUUUCUCUCUUGGAGCACGCUUGUCUGGCAGGGUGGCUGCAGAGCACAGGUGGUGUUCAUAGCCGUGGGGAAAGCCAAAAAGUUUUAGUUGUCCUGUAGCUGAAAUUAACUUCAGUUCCCAGUGUGAUAAGUGAAUGAUUUUGAUGCUUGAUAUUAUGAUGAUGCAAGCUGUGGUAAUACUUAAUAUUGUGAUGGACAGACGUAGAUGAUUAUAGAAAAUGUUUCUGUAAUUAAAUCACCGAAUUCCAUU